CCAGCACCCCGAGUGGUCGGGACGAUUAUUGGGCCUAAAGCAUCCGUAGCCGGUUUUACAAGUCCUCCGUUAAAUCCAGCUGCUUAACAGAUGGGCUGCGGAGGAUACUAUAAGACUAGGAGGCAGGAGAGGCAAGCGGUACUCAGUGGGUAGGGGUAAAAUCCGUUGAUCCAUUGAAGACCACCAGUGGCGAAGGCGGCUUGCCAGAAUGCGCUCGACGGUGAGGGACGAAAGCUGGGGGAGCAAACCGGAUUAGAUACCCGGGUAGUCCCAGCUGUAAACGAUGCAGACUCGGUGAUGGACUAGCUUUAUGCUAGUCCAGUGCCGCAGGGAAGCCGUUAAGCUGCCCGCCUGGGUAGUACGGUCGCAAGACUG
rnacentral:rRNA from 1 species